GAUGAACGCUGACAGAAUGCUUAACACAUGCAAGUCGACUCGAGUCUUCGGACUUGGGUGGCGCACGGGUGAGUAACGCGUAAAGAACUUGCCUCUUAGACCGGGACAACAUCUGGAAACGGAUGCUAAUACCGGAUAUUAUGGUUUUUUCGCAUGGAGGAAUCAUGAAAGCUAGAUGCGCUAAGAGAGAGCUUUGCGUCCCAUUAGCUGGUUGGUGAGGUAACGGCCCACCAAGGCAAUGAUGGGUAGCCGGCCUGAGAGGGUGAACGGCCACAAGGGGACUGAGACACGGCCCUUACUCCUACGGGAGGCAGCAGUGGGGAAUAUUGGACAAUGGACCGCAAGUCUGAUCCAGCAAUUCUGUGUGCACGAUGACGUUUUUCGGAAUGUAAAGUGCUUUCAGUCGGGAAGAAGUCAGUGACGGUACCGACAGAAGAAGCGACGGCUAAAUACGUGCCAGCAGCCGCGGUAAUACGUAUGUCGCAAGCGUUAUCCGGAUUUAUUGGGCGUAAAGCGCGUCUAGGCGGCAAGGAAAGUCUGAUGUGAAAAUGCGGAGCUCAACUCCGUAUGGCGUUGGAAACUGCCUUACUAGAGUACUGGGAGAGGUAGGCGGAACUACAAGUGUAGAGGUGAAAUUCGUAUAUAUUUGUAGGAAUGCCGAUGGGGAAGCCAGCCUACUGGACAGAUACUGACGCUGAAGCGCGAAAGCGUGGGUAUCAAACAGG
rnacentral:rRNA from 1 species